GCCUACACAUGCAAGUCGAACGGUGACGACGGAGCUUGCUCUGUCUGAUCAGUGGCGAACGGGUGAGUAACACGUGAGUAACCUGCCCCCGACUCUGGAAUAACCGUGGGAAACGACGGCUAAUACCGGAUAUGAGACGCACGGGCAUCUGUGUGUCUGGAAAGAUUUAUCGGUCAGGGAUGGACUCGCGGCCUAUCAGCUUGUUGGUGGGGUAAUGGCCCACCAAGGCGACGACGGGUAGCCGGCCUGAGAGGGCGACCGGCCACACUGGGACUGAGAUACGGCCCAGACUCCUACGGGAGGCAGCAGUGGGGAAUAUUGCACAAUGGGCGCAAGCCUGAUGCAGCGACGCCGCGUGAGGGAUGAAGGCCUUCGGGUUGUAAACCUCUUUCAGCAGGGAAGAAGCGAAAGUGACGGUACCUGCAGAAGAAGCGCCGGCUAACUACGUGCCAGCAGCCGCGGUAAUACGUAGGGCGCAAGCGUUGUCCGGAAUUAUUGGGCGUAAAGAGCUCGUAGGCGGUUUGUCGCGUCUGCUGUGAAAACCUGAGGCUCAACCUCGGGCUUGCAGUGGGUACGGGCAGACUAGAGUGCGGUAGGGGUGACUGGAAUUCCUGGUGUAGCGGUGGAAUGCGCAGAUAUCAGGAGGAACACCGAUGGCGAAGGCAGGUCACUGGGCCGCAACUGACGCUGAGGAGCGAAAGCAUGGGGAGCGAACAGGAUUAGAUACCCUGGUAGUCCAUGCCGUAAACGUUGGGCACUAGGUGUGGGGCUCAUUCCACGAGUUCCGUGCCGCAGCAAACGCAUUAAGUGCCCCGCCUGGGGAGUACGGCCGCAAGGCUAAAACUCAAAGAAAUUGACGGGGGCCCGCACAAGCGGCGGAGCAUGCGGAUUAAUUCGAUGCAACGCGAAGAACCUUACCAAGGCUUGACAUACAC
rnacentral:rRNA from 1 species